rnacentral:rRNA from 1 species
UACGUAGGUGACCAGCGUUGUCCGGAUUUACUGGGCGUAAAGAGCGCGUAGGCGGUCGUUCAAGUCGAGUGUGAAAGCCCCCGGCUCAACUGGGGAGGGUCAUUCGAUACUGCUCGACUGGAAGGCAGGAGAGGGAAGCGGAAUUCCCGGUGUAGUGGUGAAAUGCGUAGAUAUCGGGAGGAACACCAGUGGCGAAAGCGGCUUCCUGGUCCAGCACCGACAUUCAGGCACGAAAGCGUGGGGAGCAAACAGG